CCUACGGGUGGCAGCAGUAGGGAAUAUUGCUCAAUGGGGGAAACCCUGAAGCAGCAACGCCGCGUGGAGGAUGAAGGUUUUCGGAUUGUAAACUCCUUUUGUUAGAGAAGAUAAUGACGGUACCCACAGAGGAAGCACCGGCUAACUCCGUGCCAGCAGCCGCGGUAAUACGGAGGGUGCAAGCGUUGUCCGGAAUCAUUGGGCGUAAAGAGUUCGUAGGCGGUAUGUUAAGUCUGGUGUUAAAUGCAGAAGCUCAACUUCUGUUCGGCACUGGAUACUGGCAAACUAGAAUGCGGUAGAGGUAAAGGGAAUUCCUGGUGUAGCGGUGAAAUGCUUAGAUAUCAGGAGGAACAUCGGUGGCGUAAGCGCUUUACUGGGCCGUAAUUGACGCUGAGGAACGAAAGCCAGGGUAGCAAAUGGGAUUAGAUACCCGUGUAGUC
rnacentral:rRNA from 1 species